GGGUUGUGAGGUUAAGCGACUAAGCGUACACGGUGGAUGCCCUGGCAGUCAGAGGCGAUGAAGGACGUGCUAAUCUGCGAAAAGCGUCGGUAAGGUGAUAUGAACCGUUAUAACCGGCGAUGUCCGAAUGGGGAAACCCAGUGUGAUUCGUCACACUAUCGUUAACUGAAUACAUAGGUUAACGAGGCGAACCGGGGGAACUGAAACAUCUAAGUACCCCGAGGAAAAGAAAUCAACCGAGAUUCCCCCAGUAGCGGCGAGCGAACGGGGAGCAGCCCAGAGUCUGAAUCAGCUUGUGUGUUAGUGGAACGGUCUGGAAAGUCCGACGGUACAGGGUGAUAGUCCCGUACACCAAAAUGCACAGGUUGUGAACUCGAAGAGUAGGGCGGGACACGUGGUAUCCUGUCUGAAUAUGGGGGGACCAUCCUCCAAGGCUAAAUACUCCUGACUGACCGAUAGUGAACCAGUACCGUGAGGGAAAGGCGAAAAGAACCCCGGCGAGGGGAGUGAAAAAGAACCUGAAACCGUGUACGUACAAGCAGUGGGAGCACCUUUAUGGUGUGACUGCGUACCUUUUGUAUAAUGGGUCAGCGACUUAUAUUCUGUAGCAAGGUUAACCGUAUAGGGGAGCCGCAGGGAAACCGAGUCUUAACUGGGCGUUAAGUUGCAGGGUAUAGACCCGAAACCCGGUGAUCUAGCCAUGGGCAGGUUGAAGGUUGGGUAACACUAACUGGAGGACCGAACCGACUAAUGUUGAAAAAUUAGCGGAUGACUUGUGGCUGGGGGUGAAAGGCCAAUCAAACCGGGAGAUAGCUGGUUCUCCCCGAAAGCUAUUUAGGUAGCGCCUCGUGAACUCAUCUUCGGGGGUAGAGCACUGUUUCGGCUAGGGGGUCAUCCCGACUUACCAACCCGAUGCAAACUACGAAUACCGAAGAAUGUUAUCACGGGAGACACACGGCGGGUGCUAACGUCCGUCGUGAAGAGGGAAACAACCCAGACCGCCAGCUAAGGUCCCAAAGUCAUGGUUAAGUGGGAAACGAUGUGGGAAGGCACAGACAGCCAGGAUGUUGGCUUAGAAGCAGCCAUCAUUUAAAGAAAGCGUAAUAGCUCACUGGUCGAGUCGGCCUGCGCGGAAGAUGUAACGGGGCUAAACCAUGCACCGAAGCUGCGGCAGCGACACUAUGUGUUGUUGGGUAGGGGAGCGUUCUGUAAGCCUGCGAAGGUGGCCUGUGAGGGCUGCUGGAGGUAUCAGAAGUGCGAAUGCUGACAUAAGUAACGAUAAAGCGGGUGAAAAGCCCGCUCGCCGGAAGACCAAGGGUUCCUGUCCAACGUUAAUCGGGGCAGGGUGAGUCGACCCCUAAGGCGAGGCCGAAAGGCGUAGUCGAUGGGAAACAGGUUAAUAUUCCUGUACUUGGUGUUACUGCGAAGGGGGGACGGAGAAGGCUAUGUUAGCCGGGCGACGGUUGUCCCGGUUUAAGCAUGUAGGCGGAGGUUCCAGGUAAAUCCGGUACCUUUUAACGCUGAGGUGUGAUGACGAGGCACUACGGUGCUGAAGUAACAAAUGCCCUGCUUCCAGGAAAAGCCUCUAAGCAUCAGGUAACAUUGAAUCGUACCCCAAACCGACACAGGUGGUCAGGUAGAGAAUACCAAGGCGCUUGAGAGAACUCGGGUGAAGGAACUAGGCAAAAUGGUGCCGUAACUUCGGGAGAAGGCACGCUGGUGUGUAGGUGAAGUCCCUGCGGAUGGAGCUGAGACCAGUCGAAGAUACCAGCUGGCUGCAACUGUUUAUUAAAAACACAGCACUGUGCAAACACGAAAGUGGACGUAUACGGUGUGACGCCUGCCCGGUGCCGGAAGGUUAAUUGAUGGGGUUAUCCGUAAGGAGAAGCUCUUGAUCGAAGCCCCGGUAAACGGCGGCCGUAACUAUAACGGUCCUAAGGUAGCGAAAUUCCUUGUCGGGUAAGUUCCGACCUGCACGAAUGGCGUAAUGAUGGCCAGGCUGUCUCCACCCGAGACUCAGUGAAAUUGAACUCGCUGUGAAGAUGCAGUGUACCCGCGGCAAGACGGAAAGACCCCGUGAACCUUUACUAUAGCUUGACACUGAACAUUGAGCCUUGAUGUGUAGGAUAGGUGGGAGGCUUUGAAGCGUGGACGCCAGUCUGCGUGGAGCCAACCUUGAAAUACCACCCUUUAAUGUUUGAUGUUCUAACGUUGGCCCCUUAUCGGGGUUGCGGACAGUGUCUGGUGGGUAGUUUGACUGGGGCGGUCUCCUCCCAAAGAGUAACGGAGGAGCACGAAGGUUAGCUAAUCCUGGUCGGACAUCAGGAGGUUAGUGCAAUGGCAUAAGCUAGCUUGACUGCGAGCGUGACGGCGCGAGCAGGUGCGAAAGCAGGUCAUAGUGAUCCGGUGGUUCUGAAUGGAAGGGCCAUCGCUCAACGGAUAAAAGGUACUCCGGGGAUAACAGGCUGAUACCGCCCAAGAGUUCAUAUCGACGGCGGUGUUUGGCACCUCGAUGUCGGCUCAUCACAUCCUGGGGCUGAAGUAGGUCCCAAGGGUAUGGCUGUUCGCCAUUUAAAGUGGUACGCGAGCUGGGUUUAGAACGUCGUGAGACAGUUCGGUCCCUAUCUGCCGUGGGCGCUGGAGAAUUGAGGGGGGCUGCUCCUAGUACGAGAGGACCGGAGUGGACGCAUCACUGGUGUUCGGGUUGUCAUGCCAAUGGCACUGCCCGGUAGCUAAAUGCGGAAGAGAUAAGUGCUGAAAGCAUCUAAGCACGAAACUUGCCCCGAGAUGAGUUCUCCCUGAGACUUUAAGUCUCCUGAAGGAACGUUGAAGACGACGACGUUGAUAGGCCGGGUGUGUAAGCGCAGCGAUGCGUUGAGCUAACCGGUACUAAUGAACCGUGAGGCUUAACCUUACAACGCCGAAGCUGUU
rnacentral:rRNA from 1 species